rnacentral:rRNA from 1 species
AUUGAACGCUGGCGGCAUGCCUUACACAUGCAAGUCGAACGGCAGCACGGAGCUUGCUCUGGUGGCGAGUGGCGAACGGGUGAGUAAUAUAUCGGAACGUACCCUAGAGUGGGGGAUAACGUAGCGAAAGUUACGCUAAUACCGCAUACGAUCUAAGGAUGAAAGUGGGGGAUCGCAAGACCUCAUGCUCGUGGAGCGGCCGAUAUCUGAUUAGCUAGUUGGUAGGGUAAAAGCCUACCAAGGCAUCGAUCAGUAGCUGGUCUGAGAGGACGACCAGCCACACUGGAACUGAGACACGGUCCAGACUCCUACGGGAGGCAGCAGUGGGGAAUUUUGGACAAUGGGCGAAAGCCUGAUCCAGCAAUGCCGCGUGAGUGAAGAAGGCCUUCGGGUUGUAAAGCUCUUUUGUCAGGGAAGAAACGGUGGGAGCUAAUAUCUCUUGCUAAUGACGGUACCUGAAGAAUAAGCACCGGCUAACUACGUGCCAGCAGCCGCGGUAAUACGUAGGGUGCAAGCGUUAAUCGGAAUUACUGGGCGUAAAGCGUGCGCAGGCGGUUUUGUAAGUCUGAUGUGAAAUCCCCGGGCUCAACCUGGGAAUUGCAUUGGAGACUGCAAGGCUAGAAUCUGGCAGAGGGGGGUAGAACUCCACGUGUAGCAGUGAAAUGCGUAGAUAUGUGGAGGAACACCGAUGGCGAAGGCAGCCCCCUGGGUCAAGAUUGACGCUCAUGCACGAAAGCGUGGGGAGCAAACAGGAUUAGAUACCCUGGUAGUCCACGCCCUAAACGAUGUCUACUAGUUGUCGGGUCUUAAUUGACUUGGUAACGCAGCUAACGCGUGAAGUAGACCGCCUGGGGAGUACGGUCGCAAGAUUAAAACUCAAAGGAAUUGACGGGGACCCGCACAAGCGGUGGAUGAUGUGGAUUAAUUCGAUGCAACGCGAAAAACCUUACCUACCCUUGACAUGGCUGGAAUCCUUGAGAGAUCAGGGAGUGCUCGAAAGAGAACCAGUACACAGGUGCUGCAUGGCUGUCGUCAGCUCGUGUCGUGAGAUGUUGGGUUAAGUCCCGCAACGAGCGCAACCCUUGUCAUUAGUUGCUACGAAAGGGCACUCUAAUGAGACUGCCGGUGACAAACCGGAGGAAGGUGGGGAUGACGUCAAGUCCUCAUGGCCCUUAUGGGUAGGGCUUCACACGUCAUACAAUGGUACAUACAGAGCGCCGCCAACCCGCGAGGGGGAGCUAAUCGCAGAAAGUGUAUCGUAGUCCGGAUUGUAGUCUGCAACUCGACUGCAUGAAGUUGGAAUCGCUAGUAAUCGCGGAUCAGCAUGUCGCGGUGAAUACGUUCCCGGGUCU